AUUGAACGCUGGCGGCAUGCCUUACACAUGCAAGUCGAACGGUAACAGGUUAAGCUGACGAGUGGCGAACGGGUGAGUAAUAUAUCGGAACGUGCCCAGUCGUGGGGGAUAACGUAGCGAAAGCUACGCUAAUACCGCAUACGAUCUACGGAUGAGAGCGGGGGAUCGCAAGACCUCGCGCGAUUGGAGCGGCCGAUACCAGAUUAGGUUGUUGGUGAGGUAAAAGCUCACCAAGCCUGCGAUCUGUAGCUGGUCUGAGAGGACGACCAGCCACACUGGAACUGAGACACGGUCCAGACUCCUACGGGAGGCAGCAGUGGGGAAUUUUGGACAAUGGACGCAAGUCUGAUCCAGCAAUGCCGCGUGCAGGACGAAGGCCUUCGGGUUGUAAACUGCUUUUGUUUGGGAAUAAACCUCUUUACGCGUAGAGAGCUGAAGGUACCAAAUGAAUAAGCACCGGCUAACUCCGUGCCAGCAGCCGCAGUAA
rnacentral:rRNA from 1 species